CCUAAAUAUGUGCACUGAUGAGCUAGCAGCACACUUUGUACUUCAUGCAGCUACCCACAGUUCAGAUACCAGGGUGACUGAAAUCUGAACCAUGUUGCUAGAGGGGACUGGUUUUAUUUAACUAAACUCAAUUGUGGCGACUGAAAUUCACAUACAUUGGAACCCUACAAAAUGCGGACUACCUGUAGUAUCUUUGGGUUUCUUGGCACUGGGACUUGCACACGUGUAACAGUGAAAUGGUUGCACAUUUUAAAGAAGCCAACAUUGAUUUUAUUUUGCCAAGUUGUUUUUUUCCCCAUUGUGUAAAAUAGUAGGGUGUGGCCACAGAGAGCAUUAUUGUUUAAUCAUUUCAUUAACAAUCCAGCCCACGUAUCUUUUCUCCUCACCCCAUGGACCUGCUCUUUUAGGAUAAUUCCAUCUCGCUCAUCAAGUAGUAGUGAAGAUAUUUCCUGUCUUCAUGAAAAACACUUCCAUCUUCUCCCUGCCCCAGGAAGGAAAUGCAGAGAAUGCUUAUCCAUCACAACAGGAUGUAGAGCUGUGUACCUGGGUCCUCCCCCAUGUUUCAGAUUUAAUGCAGUCACAACCCAGGCACAAUUCUAAGCAAUAUGCCAUAUGUGCGGUUCCCAAGAGAAAUCAGAAAAAAUCUGCAGGAAGUUAGGCAGGGCGGCAAGCCCUAAAGACAUUGAAUAUUCUUUGCCAUAAUAUUCCACUUCCUUUGUGGUUUUCAUGGAAUUUAGUAUAUACCUUUGUGUGGGGGGUGGGGAGCGUGGGGGGAGGUUUGAGGAGUGUGGAAUCUGUAUUUGUCUCAUCCUGGUGCAGAUGUUAAAGAGAGAAAAAGAACAUCAAGAGCUAGAGGUGCAUGAAAAGGGAAGAGCUAGGGCUGUCAGGAUCAGAGUGCAUCCUAAGAUCAUCAUGGUUGGACAAAAGUGUGUAGUAAGAGGAAUGUGUCUUAGGGGGCAUAUCCCAGAGGCUGAUCCUGAAUGCAAGUAGUUUAUGUGGGUGGUCACACCAGGAAGACCAGGAGGGUGGGGAGACGAACCACGGGAAGCAAGGAAGCAAUACAUAAUAUGUCAAUGAGCUGGUUUCUAAUGUGGGAAACCAGAGCUCCAUCACCCUGGGGAUGGACGUCUGUGGAACCGUAGAGAACACAUCUCAGGACUGUCUCUCAAGAGACAAGAUAGCUGUUGAAGCCAGCUCAGCCUCCUGGUUGAGAACAACUGGCUAUCUUUUAAAUUCUCAGCACUUAUGAUCUGCCCUGCAUGUAGCAGAACACAUCCUGAGAGGCCAGAGGGAGGCUAGAGACAGAGUCACAAAUGCUUGCAAAAAAUACUCAUCUGAAGUUUAUGAAGGUAGGGUAUCAAGAGUACCCACUAUUGGGCUCUAACUGUGGUCUAGGCACCGUUCUAAGAACUUCACACGUAUUAACUCACGAAUACAGGCAAGCCUACAACAAACUGCAAAGUGGACACUAUUAUCAUCUUUUUAUAAAUUAGGCACAGAGAAGUAACUUGACCAAGCUCACAGUCUAGGAAGUUGCAGAGGAAACAAUGAUAAUGAGUAUGCCAAAGCUUCAUGUAACCUCUAUACCAUAUUGCCAACGCCCCCUGCGAUGACUGCUUGAUUGUCUCUAUUUCCUUUAUUUUUCCACAAACUCUCUUGGAUUUUUAAGGCUUUACUGUAUGGCUGUGGAAUAGCUUCAUUUUUUAAUAGGAUAAAUGAAGAACAUUUAGUGGAGCAAGGCAUUUUACAAGCAGGGUCUGCAAGGUACCAGCCGACUCUGGACAGGAUACCAGAGCUUAUAUAUUAGAAAGAACCACUCUUUUCUUACUGAAGCCACUUUGUUUGGGAAUCUUGUCAUCACAGUGGCCCAAUCUAUAUCGUAACUAGCACACAGGACAGUGUCGGAGUUUUAGUUACAGCUCCCAGACACCAAACCCAAAAGAAGAAAGGUGGGCCCAGCACUGCCUGAGACCUCACACUGGAGGUGCUGAGUUAGCAUCUGUAUACUGGCGUUCCUGCCCUAGUUGGGCUGGUCGUGCAUGUCUCCUCUCCUGCGUUGACUAAAAGAGGGCUCAGCCUCUUCUAGAAUUUCCUUUCCUUGUGCAGGGAGCUGGUACAAGAGCCAACACGAUUAAGCUCUCCCUGGCUUCUCCACGAGUCACUGCUUGAUUCUGAGUCUGCCUCACCAAACCAGUCCUGAGGUCUCUGUGCCCAGAGCUGUCAGCAAACCUCCCACUCCCUGUUUGUGUUGGCUUGUCUCACCGUGCCAUGCUGGAGGUGUCGGCUAAAGCUGUUUACUGGCUUCAUUUAAAAACACCUUAAGGUGUUCUUAAAAUUCUGCUUUGAGCAGCGAUACAGACAGGGACGUCAAUGAGGCCAGAAAGUAAUGGAGAUAAAUAGAACAUAACAAAAUUGUAAUAAAACCAAAGAGGAAAACACACAGGAACUUGUGAAAAAAAAAAGUGGUAUGUUAUUUAAACCCAGUUUUACACAAACACACAUAUAUACAUAUAUGCAUGUGAGUCCUUGUAUGUGUGCGUGCUCAGUCACUUCAGUCAUGUCCAACUCUUUGCAACCCCAUGGACCGUAGCCCGCCAGGCUCCUCUGUNNNNNNNNNNNNNNNNNNNNNNNNNNNNNNNNNNNNNNNNNNNNNNNNNNNNNNNNNNNNNNNNNNNNNNNNNNNNNNNNNNNNNNNNNNNNNNNNNNNCUCUGUCCAUGGGAUUCUCCAGGCAAGAACCCUGGAAUGGGUUGCCAUGCCCUCGUCAAGGGGAUCUUCCUGACCCAGGAAUCGAACUGUGUCCUUUGAGUCUCCUGCAUUGGCAGGUAUAUUCUUUACCACUAGCGUCACUUGUAUAUAUGCACACAUAUAAAUGUAUACAUACACCAGUGUAUAAUUUCAGGAGAUCUUAUCAUUUUUAUGGAGCUCAUCCUUCCAUCCAUACUACAGGACAUGUCCUAGGCUAAGUGCAACUCCACAGCACAUACUUUUAGGCUAAAACAACAACUGAAAAACAAUAGACAAAAUAUUCAUUUAAUAUGCUUGAAAAAUAACAGCAACUAAAAUCAGAUUCUUAUUGCAACAGCCACACAUGAGCUUCCCUGCUGACUUCUGUAGGGCCAG
rnacentral:lncRNA from 1 species